rnacentral:lncRNA from 10 species
GAGCGCGCCCGCCUGAGAAGGCAGAGCGCGGUGCGGACCUGUGCUCCGCGCGCCGGCUGGCAGGGCAGGGCCGCGGCUGCCAGGAGGCCCGGGAACAGUCCCGACGGAGCGGCGCGGAGAGGGCGCUCCCCGGAAGCCCGUCCGCCCAACGGAUGCGCAGCGUUGGGGCCCGGCCGGAGGUCGGAGCCCUCGGACGCCGCAGCCCUCGGACGCCGCUCAGCACAGCCCCUCUCUCCGUGCGCCCGCCCUGGACCCCCUCCAUCCCUAAGCCCCGGCAGCCGAUUCGGAGACUCGGGAGGCCACAGGCUCAGCGCGACACCACGACCACAACUAGGAGGCACCAUCGUCGAUCUACCUGGGGAGGCACCUACAAAGCCAGCAGACUGACACCCGUGUCCUAGCCGUCGGCGGCCUGCGAAGCGAUAGUCAAAGGAACCAGGACCCAGGACCCCGGCGCUCUGCUUACCCGCAGACCUCCGGACCGCGCCCCCCCCCCG